UGAACGCUGGCGGCAGGCCUAACACAUGCAGUCGAACGGUAACAGGAAGCAGCUUGCUGCUUUGCUGACGAGUGGCGGACGGGUGAGUAAUGUCUGGGAAACUGCCUGAUGGAGGGGGAUAACUACUGGAAACGGUAGCUAAUACCGCAUAACGUCGCAAGACCAAAGAGGGGGACCUUCGGGCCUCUUGCCAUCGGAUGUGCCCAGAUGGGAUUAGCUAGUGGUGGGGUAACGGCUCACCUAGGCGACGAUCCCUAGCUGGUCUGAGAGGAUGACCAGCCACACUGGAACUGAGACACGGUCCAGACUCCUACGGGAGGCAGCAGUGGGGAAUAUUGCACAAUGGGGCAAGCCUGAUGCAGCCAUGCCGCGUGUAUGAAGAAGGCCUUCGGGUUGUAAAGUACUUUCAGCGGGGAGGAAGGCGAUAAGGUUAAUAACCUGUCGAUUGACGUUACCCGCAGAAGAAG
rnacentral:rRNA from 1 species